CAAGGAAUUUUCGACAAUGGGCGCAAGCCUGAUCCAGCCAUGCCGCGUGAGUGAUGAAGGCCUUAGGGUUGUAAAGCUCUUUGACCGGAGAAGAUAAUGACGGUAUCCGGAGAAGAAGCCCCGGCUAACUUCGUGCCAGCAGCCGCGGUAAUACGAAGGGGGCUAGCGUUGUUCGGAAUUACUGGGCGUAAAGCGCACGUAGGCGGAUAUUUAAGUCAGGGGUGAAAUCCCAGAGCUCAACUCUGGAACUGCCUUUGAUACUGGGUAUCUUGAGUAUGGAAGAGGUAAGUGGAAUUCCGAGUGUAGAGGUGAAAUUCGUAGAUAUUCGGAGGAACACCAGUGGCGAAGGCGGCUUACUGGUCCAUUACUGACGCUGAGGUGCGAAAGCGUGGGGAGCAAAC
rnacentral:rRNA from 1 species